AUUGAACGCUGGCGGCAUGCCUUACACAUGCAAGUCGAACGGUAACGCGGGGCAACCUGGCGACGAGUGGCGAACGGGGGAGUAACGCAUCGGAACGUGCCCAGUAGUGGGGGAUAGCCCGGCGAAAGCCGGAUUAAUACCGCAUACGACCUACGGGUGAAAGGGGGGGAUCGCAAGACCUCCCGCUAUUGGAGCGGCCGAUGUCAGAUUAGGUAGUUGGUGGGGUAAAGGCCAACCAAGCCGACGAUCUGUAGCUGGUCUGAGAGGACGACCAGCCACACUGGGACUGAGACACGGCCCAGACUCCUACGGGAGGCAGCAGUGGGGAAUUUUGGACAAUGGGCGAAAGCCUGAUCCAGCCAUGCCGCGUGCGGGAAGAAGGCCUUCGGGUUGUAAACCGCUUUUGUCAGGGAAGAAAUCUUCUGGGUUAAUACCUCGGGAGGAUGACGGUACCUGAAGAAUAAGCACCGGCUAACUACGUGCCAGCCGCCGCGGUAAGAC
rnacentral:rRNA from 1 species